rnacentral:rRNA from 1 species
AGUAACGGCGAGUGAAGCGGUAACAGCUCAAAUUUGAAAUCUGGCUCUUGCGGAGUCCGAGUUGUAAUUUGUAGAAGAUGCUUUGGGUUGUGGGUUCGGCCUAAGUUCCUUGGAACAGGACGUCAUAGAGGGUGAGAAUCCCGUAUGUGGCCGAGGCCCGCGCCUAUGUAAAGCUCUUUCAACGAGUCGAGUUGUUUGGGAAUGCAGCUCAAAAUGGGUGGUAAAUUUCAUCUAAAGCUAAAUAUGGGCCAGAGACCGAUAGCGCACAAGUAGAGUGAUCGAAAGAUGAAAAGCACUUUGGAAAGAGAGUUAAACAGUACGUGAAAUUGUUGAAAGGGAAGCGCUUGCAACCAGACUUGGGCGCUGCCGAUCACCUUGAGUUUUCUCGAGUGCACUCGACAGCGCACAGGCCAGCAUCGGUUCGGGUGGCUGGAUAAAGGCCGUAGGAAUGUGGCUCUCUUCGGGGAGUGUUAUAGCCUACGGUGCCAUGCAGCCCAGCCGGACCGAGGACCGCGCCUUCGGGCUAGGAUGCUGGCGUAAUGGUUGUAAGCGACCCGUCUUGAAACACGGACCAAGGAGUCUAACAUCUAUGCGAGUGUUUGGGUGGUAAACCCAUACGCGGAAUGAAAGUGAACGUAGGUGAGAACCCCUUUGGGGCGCAUCAUCGACCGAUCCUGAUGUCUUCGGAUGGAUUUUGAGUAAGAGCAUAGCUGUUGGGACC